UUCCGGUUGAUCCCGCCGGAGGCCACUGCUAUGGGGGUCCGACCAAGCCAUGCGAGUCAUGGGGCGCCUUGCGCGCACCGGCGGACGGCUCAGUAACACGUCGGUAACCUACCCUCGGGAGGGGGAUAACCCCGGGAAACUGGGGCUAAUCCCCCAUAGGCCUGAGGUACUGGAAGGUCCUCAGGCCGAAAGGGGCUCUGCCCGCCCGAGGAUGGUCCGGCGGCCGAUUAGGUAGUUGGUGGGGUAACGGCCCACCAAGCCGAAGAUCGGUACGGGCCAUGAGAGUGGGAGCCCGGAGAUGGACACUGAGACACGGGUCCAGGCCCUACGGGGCGCAGCAGGCGCGAAACCUCCGCAAUGCGGGCAACCGCGACGGGGGGACCCCCAGUGCCGUGGCAUCGCCACGGCUUUUCCGGAGUGUAAAGAGCUCCGGGAAUAAGGGCUGGGCAAGGCCGGUGGCAGCCGCCGCGGUAAUACCGGCGGCCCGAGUGGUGGCCGCUAUUAUUGGGCCUAAAGCGUCCGUAGCCGGGCCCGUAAGUCCCUGGCGAAAUCCCACGGCUCAACCGUGGGGCUUGCUGGGGAUACUGCGGGCCUUGGGACCGGGAGAGGCGGAGGGUACUCCUGGGGUAGGGGUGAAAUCCUAUAAUCCCAGGAGGACCGCCAGUGGCGAAGGCGCUCCGCUGGAACGGGUCCGACGGUGAGGGACGAAGGCCAGGGGAGCGAACCGGAUUAGAUACCCGGGUAGUCCUGGCUGUAAAGGAUGCGGGCUAGGUGUCGGGCGAGCUUCGUGCUCGCCCGGUGCCGAAGGGAAGCCGUUAAGCCCGCCGCCUGGGGAGUACGGCCGCAAGGCUGAAACUUAAAGGAAUUGGCGGGGGAGCACUACAAGGGGUGGAGCGUGCGGUUUAAUUGGAAUCAACGCCGGA
rnacentral:rRNA from 1 species